rnacentral:rRNA from 1 species
AGAGUUUGAUCCUGGCUCAGGAUGAACGCUGGCGGCGUGCCUAAUACAUGCAAGUCGAGCGAACGGACGAGAAGCUUGCUUCUCUGAUGUUAGCGGCGGACGGGUGAGUAACACGUGGAUAACCUACCUAUAAGACUGGGAUAACUUCGGGAAACCGGAGCUAAUACCGGAUGAUAUUUUGAACCGCAUGGUUCAAAAGUGAAAGACGGUCUUGCUGUCACUUAUAGAUGGAUCCGCGCUGCAUUAGCUAGUUGGUAAGGUAACGGCUUACCAAGGCAACGAUGCAUAGCCGACCUGAGAGGGUGAUCGGCCACACUGGAACUGAGACACGGUCCAGACUCCUACGGGAGGCAGCAGUAGGGAAUCUUCCGCAAUGGGCGAAAGCCUGACGGAGCAACGCCGCGUGAGUGAUGAAGGUCUUCGGAUCGUAAAACUCUGUUAUUAGGGAAGAACAUAUGUGUAAGUAACUGUGCACAUCUUGACGGUACCUAAUCAGAAAGCCACGGCUAACUACGUGCCAGCAGCCGCGGUAAUACGUAGGUGGCAAGCGUUAUCCGGAAUUAUUGGGCGUAAAGCGCGCGUAGGCGGUUUUUUAAGUCUGAUGUGAAAGCCCACGGCUCAACCGUGGAGGGUCAUUGGAAACUGGAAAACUUGAGUGCAGAAGAGGAAAGUGGAAUUCCAUGUGUAGCGGUGAAAUGCGCAGAGAUAUGGAGGAACACCAGUGGCGAAGGCGACUUUCUGGUCUGUAACUGACGCUGAUGUGCGAAAGCGUGGGGAUCAAACAGGAUUAGAUACCCUGGUAGUCCACGCCGUAAACGAUGAGUGCUAAGUGUUAGGGGGUUUCCGCCCUUAGUGCUGCAGCUAACGCAUUAAGCACUCCGCCUGGGGAGUACGACCGCAAGGUUGAAACUCAAAGGAAUUGACGGGGACCCGCACAAGCGGUGGAGCAUGUGGUUUAAUUCGAAGCAACGCGAAGAACCUUACCAAAUCUUGACAUCCUUUGACAACUCUAGAGAUAGAGCCUUCCCCUUCGGGGGACAAAGUGACAGGUGGUGCAUGGUUGUCGUCAGCUCGUGUCGUGAGAUGUUGGGUUAAGUCCCGCAACGAGCGCAACCCUUAAGCUUAGUUGCCAUCAUUAAGUUGGGCACUCUAAGUUGACUGCCGGUGACAAACCGGAGGAAGGUGGGGAUGACGUCAAAUCAUCAUGCCCCUUAUGAUUUGGGCUACACACGUGCUACAAUGGACAAUACAAAGGGCAGCGAAACCGCGAGGUCAAGCAAAUCCCAUAAAGUUGUUCUCAGUUCGGAUUGUAGUCUGCAACUCGACUACAUGAAGCUGGAAUCGCUAGUAAUCGUAGAUCAGCAUGCUACGGUGAAUACGUUCCCGGGUCUUGUACACACCGCCCGUCACACCACGAGAGUUUGUAACACCCGAAGCCGGUGGAGUAACCUUUUAGGAGCUAGCCGUCGAAGGUGGGACAAAUGAUUGGGGUGAAGUCGUAACAAGGUAGCCGUAUCGGAAGGUGCGGCUGGAUCACCU